UUUAUUGGGCGUAAAGCGAGCGCAGGCGGUUAGAUAAGUCUGAAGUGAAAGGCAGUGGCUCAACCAUUGUAGGCUUUGGAAACUGUUUAACUUGAGUGCAGAAGGGGAGAGUGGAAUUCCAUGUGUAGCGGUGAAAUGCGUAGAUAUAUGGAGGAACACCGGUGGCGAAAGCGGCUCUCUGGUCUGUAACUGACGCUGAGGCUCGAAAGCGUGGGGAGCGAACAGGAUUAGAUACCCUGGUAGUCCACGCCGUAAACGAUGAGUGCUAGGUGUUAGGUCCUUUCCGGGACUUAGUGCCGCAGCUAACGCAUUAAGCACUCCGCCUGGGGAGUACGACCGCAAGGUUGAAACUCAAAGGAAUUGACGGGGGCCCGCACAAGCGGUGGAGCAUGUGGUUUAAUUCGAAGCAACGCGAAGAACCUUACCAGGUCUUGACAUCCCUCUGACCACUCUAGAGAUAGAGUUUCCCUUCGGGGCAGAGGUGACAGGUGGUGCAUGGUUGUCGUCAGCUCGUGUCGUGAGAUGUUGGGUUAAGUCCCGCAACGAGCGCAACCCUUAUUGUUAGUUGCCAUCAUUCAGUUGGGCACUCUAGCGAGACUGCCGGUAAUAAACCGGAGGAAGGUGGGGAUGACGUCAAAUCAUCAUGCCCCUUAUGACCUGGGCUACACACGUGCUACAAUGGCUGGUACAACGAGUCGCAAGCCGGUGACGGCAAGCUAAUCUCUGAAAGCCAGUCUCAGUUCGGAUUGUAGGCUGCAACUCGCCUACAUGAAGUCGGAAUCGCUAGUAAUCGCGGAUCAGCACGCCGCGGUGAAUACGUUCCCGGGCCUUGUACACACCGCCCGUCACACCACGAGAGUUUGUAACACCCGAAGUCGGUGAGGUAACCGUAAGGAGCCAGCCGC
rnacentral:rRNA from 1 species